rnacentral:rRNA from 1 species
UACGUAGGGGGCAAGCGUUGUCCGGAAUCAUUGGGCGUAAAGAGCGUGUAGGCGGUCCGAUAAGUCCGCUCUGAAAGCCCGGGGCUCAACCCCGGGAGGCGGGCGGAUACUGUCGGGCUAGAGUCCGGAAGAGGCAAGUGGAAUUCCUGGUGUAGCGGUGAAAUGCGCAGAUAUCAGGAGGAACACCGAUGGCGAAGGCAGCUUGCUGGGACGGUACUGACGCUGAGGACGAGAACGUGGGGGAGCAAACAGGAUU